UUUAAGCCUGCCUGGUGAGUGGUCUGGGAGUCCCUCGGCAGUGCCUCAGCCAGUCUCCGCCACCACCACGCCAGACCUGUCUUCAGAAUCUGAUUCCUCAGGUCGAUGCUCAAACACUGAGCCACACCAGUUGGGCCUAAACCCUAGUAUGGCUGCUUGUGCCACAGCAUCCUGGAAGAGAACUCCAAUAGCACCUCCACAGUGAAAACUGGAACCUACCGGUGUGAUACGCAGCUUCCGCCGCCAUCUCUGAAAGACUAA